GAGAGAGAGAGAGAGAAAGGAGGUCAGUGAGAGACAUAAGAAUGGUAAAGAGAUUGGAAUCAGAGUGGCUGCGGUAAGAGAAAUUUGUGGUGGUAGAAGGGAUUGGGAACUAAGUGGGAGAAAUUAUGAAUAGGGUUAGUGCUUUGGGGAAACAGAGCUUUGAAAGAAGAGGAGGAAUAGUUUCAGUCAAGUAAAUCCUCAUGAACAACAUGCCAGAAUCUCCAAACUGGGAAAUUGGUUAUAAGAGGUCACAGUAGUUCACUUAAGACUAAUUUCUGAGUAUUUUUAUGGAAUAA
rnacentral:misc_RNA from 1 species